UACGAAGGGAGCUAGCGUUGUUCGGAAUCACUGGGCGUAAAGCGCACGUAGGCGGAUUUGUAAGUCAGGGGUGAAAUCCCGGGGCUCAACCUCGGAACUGCCUUUGAUACUGCAAAUCUCGAGUCCGAUAGAGGUGGGUGGAAUUCCUAGUGUAGAGGUGAAAAUUCGUAGAUAUUAGGAAGAACACCGGUGGCGAAGGCGGC
rnacentral:rRNA from 1 species